rnacentral:rRNA from 1 species
CCAGCAGCCGCGGUAAUAUUAUUGGGCGUAAAGAGCUCGUAGGCGGUUUGUCGCGUCUGCUGUGAAAACCCGAGGCUCAACCUCGGGCCUGCAGUGGGUACGGGCAGACUAGAGUGCGGUAGGGGAGAAUGGAAUUCCUGGUGUAGCGGUGGAAUGCGCAGAUAUCAGGAGGAACACCGAUGGCGAAGGCAGUUCUCUGGGCCGUUACUGACGCUGAGGAGCGAAAGCGUGGGGAGCGAACAGGAUUAGAUACCCUGGUAGUCCACGCCGUAAACGUUGGGAACUAGAUGUGGGGACCUUUCCACGGUCUCCGUGUCGCAGCUAACGCAUUAAGUUCCCCGCCUGGGGAGUACGGCCGCAAGGCUAAAACUCAAAGGAAUUGACGGGGGCCCGCACAAGCGGCGGAGCAUGCGGAUUAAUUCGAUGCAACGCGAAGAACCUUACCAAGGCUUGACAUAUACCGGAAACUUCCAGAAAUGGUUGCCCCGCAAGGUCGGUAUACAGGUGGUGCAUGGUUGUCGUCAGCUCGUGUCGUGAGAUGUUGGGUUAAGUCCCGCAACGAGCGCAACCCUCGUUCUAUGUUGCCAGCACGUCAUGGUGGCAACUCAUAGGAGACUGCCGGGGUCAACUCGUAGGAAGGUGGGGAUGA